GUGAUAGUGAAAAUCAUCCUAACGAUAAUCCUCCUCUCUCUUGUGUCUCUCACACCAGCCACGGUUUUCAAAGAUCUGCCCAAGCCCAAAGUGGACCUGAGAGGUCAUUGCUGCAAACCUCCUGCCUCCAGACCGGACUCCACCCAAGCCACCUCAAACAGAUGAUCAGCCAGCAUCAUCUCCGUUUUAAAGUUGCAUCAAAUGUUCCUUGGGUUGGUGUCCAGAAUGCAGAAGAUGCUGCCUGCUGAUACACACAGGUUUUCUUCAACUAGGGUGCUCAUCGGAUACUUGGAUUUCUUGUUUCUGGUUCUGCAGUUGGUCCUGCUUCUCUGCACAUACCCUUGAUCCUGUAACUGACUUGUAAGUUUUCACAACUUUUCAGCUUCCUACUUAUGGAAAGCCUCUUGGGUCACCUCUGUACCCUUCCUGUGGGGUUACUUCCCAAUCAAACUCUCAGAAGACCAACCUGGAGGCUUCCUCCUACCCCAGUUGAUGAUGAAAUUCACCUCACUCAUGUGGGUAGCUUCACCAUCUGUCAUCAACAUCAGAC